UGAGGAAUAUUGCGCAAUGGGGGCAACCCUGACGCAGCAACGCCGCGUGAGUGAGGAAGGUUUUCGGACCGUAAAGCUCUGUCGAGCGGGAAGAAAUGCAUGGUGGCUAAUAUCCAUCAUGCUUGACGGUACCGCUAAAGGAAGCACCGGCUAACUCCGUGCCAGCAGCCGCGGUAAUACGGGGGGUGCGAGCGUUGUUCGGAAUUAUUGGGCGUAAAGAGCGUGUAGGCGGCCGAAUAAGUCAGAUGUGAAAUCCCUGGGCUUAACCCAGGACGUGCAUUUGAAACUAUUCGGCUAGAGUAGGGGAGAGGAAAGUGGAAUUCCUGGUGUAGAGGUGAAAUUCGUAGAUAUCAGGAGGAACACCGGUGGCGAAGGCGACUUUCUGGCCCUAUACUGACGCUGAGACGCGAGAGCGUGGGUAGCAAACAG
rnacentral:rRNA from 1 species